UUAAUUGAAAAUUUACCUUUCACUUUGCGGUUUGUAAGCAGUUUUAUCCGAAAAUUUAACUAAUAAUUUUUAUGGAUAUUAUCAAAGAAGAGGAGAAAUAUUUAGCAAAAUGUGCAUUGAAAGACAAAUUUUGAUAACGGAAAAAUUUAUAGCCCCAUUUCUCUACCACUAAAUAAUGAAGAAUCAGCAGACUUUUCCUGAAUGGCAGUUUUAUUUUGGUUUUUGGGAGAAAAUACUACAACUCUAUCGGGAAUUAGAAUCUACAGAUGAGAUCAUUCUGUUAUAACUUCGCUGUAGUGUUUCUAUUCUUUUUCAAGCUUUUACAUUUAAUAGCGUCUGCAAGAUUUCAAGGAGAAAAAAGCCUGGCGAUAGAAAAGCGUUUUGGGGGAAAAAGCAUUGGAUCACUAGCGCAGAAAGUGGGAAAGAAAAGACUUGGAUCGCAAUGCUGAAGGCCAGGACCAUCCUUUCGCGACUGGUUGGAUGUCAACGUCGAGCCUUGUUUAUGAACACCACAGCUGCCUAUAUGAAAGAACCGCAUAUGAAUGAUUUUCACUUUCCGUAUCCUAAUGCAGAAGCUUGGGCUGAUGGCUAUCGCAGACGACAGAAGAGAAAUAACUUUGUCCUGGGAGUGGGUCUGGUCCUCUUUGGAAUUACUGCCUUUUCUACGUACCUGACGAUCAUUUUACCUGCACUUCCACCUACCCAUGACGAGGCUGCCGUGUUAAAGAACUAAGUUAUCUGAAUAAAAUAAAAACUUUUAAAUAAUUUGCAAGUAUUCGUGGCAGUCAAAUAUGAUUUUUAAAUAAAUUCUUUUCAUAUUUA